UACUGAAACAUGCAAGAGGGACUCUUGGAGGAAUGACUAAUGUACAGUAAACAUUCAUUCUGCAGUUUCACCAAACAUCAACUGAGAUCCAAGUCAAAUCCAGUUCCACACUGUGAGGAGGAGUCAAUGCAAAACUCAGAUGUCUUCCACCUCUACUUAUCUGACUGCAGAGAGGAUGACAGAGAACAGUGGACACACAGUUUAACAUGAUGGACUAUAGGACAGGACUGCUGCUGUUAACUAUCUGCUGGGCAGGUGUUGAUGGUCAGACUCUGACAGAAUCUGAACCAGUGGUUAAAAGGCCUGGAGAAUCUCACAGAUUGACCUGUACAGCCUCUGGAUUCACAUUCAGCAGCUAUCAUAUGGCCUGGAUCAGACAGGCUCCUGGAAAAGGACUGGAGUGGAUUGCCUGGGUGGAAAAUGAUAAUGACGGGAAACGCUACUCUCAGUCAGUUCAAGGCCGGUUUACCAUCUCCAAAGACAACAGCAGACAGCAGGUGUAUCUGCAGAUGAACAGUCUGAAGACUGAAGAUUCUGCUGUUUAUUAUUGUGCUCGAGAGCCACAGUGACUGGAGUUGGUUGAGCAGCUGUACAAAAUCCUACAGUACUCAUCUUUCAGGCUGGUAGAGUCUGUGCAUUAAGUAUUCAUAGUAUUUGUAUUAUAUAUGAUGAUAUAUGACAUGAUGAUGAUGAUUUUUUAAUACAUAGUUUUAUAUGCUACAUUACAUUUUAUUUAGAUGUAUUUUAGUGAAUAAAUUAAUAAUUGUCUCUCAAUUUAAGUCCAGAAAACUGUUCCUCAUAUUUUAUUACGAAAUAUUAAAAACAUAAAAAACACAAUAAAAUGCACUUGUUGAUAAAAGGGCCAAAGACAGCACAAUCUGGUUGCAGCAAUUCAACUGUUGCAAAUACUAAACAUUUAUAUAAAUUAAGACACUGCAAAUUAUGUGGAUAUAAACUCCAUGAUAAUAUGUGAGUGAAAAAUAUAAUAACUAAAAUAAAAAUGAGUUUCUGGUAUAAAACCA